CGGGACGGGGUGAGUAAUAUCUGGGAAACUGCCUGAUGGAGGGGGGUAACUACUGGAAACGGUAGCUAAUACCGCAUAACGUCGCAAGACCAAAGAGGGGGACCUUCGGGCCUCUUGCCAUCGGAUGUGCCCAGAUGGGAUUAGCUAGUAGGUGGGGUAACGGCUCACCUAGGCGACGAUCCCUAGCUGGUCUGAGAGGAUGACCAGCCACACUGGAACUGAGACACGGUCCAG
rnacentral:rRNA from 1 species